rnacentral:snRNA from 3 species
GUGCUUGCUUUGGCAGCACAUAUGCUAAAAUUGGAAGGAUAUGAAGAAGAUUAGCAUGGCCCCUGUGCAGGGAUGACUCACAAAUUCGUGAAGCACUCCGUAUUUUU